ensembl:lncRNA
CUGAUCUGUUUACUGUGAAUGUUACAUCCGUAUUUGCUUUAAUGAUGGGAAGAACACCUGGCUUUAAGCCUGGCUCACGAGUUAACUGGCACACAUGGCAGCAAAGCGGUCCUGGCACUGUGCAGCCCUUCCUCAGAGGGUUACCCAUCAGCUGCCAUACUUCCUCCAAGCCGGUGAGGACGGCAUCGGUGCUGCGAGGCUGCAGGGAGCGGUGGGACCCCACCUGUCCUGGGAUCAACACGGCGUGCAGGAAAAACCAGCUAUCACCUAUCCUGGUGAGUUCAGCCCUCCCAGGCUCACUGUGCACAUCCCAGCCCUGGCACGGUGUCAGAGAACCAGCAGCUAUUGAAGAUAAGAUCAUGAAUAGUUAAUGCUCUCAGUUACCCAAGCAUAUUUAAAAAUUAACACUGCAGCCUGGUUGAGAUGAGAUGAAAAAAAGAAAACAAAACUGGGUCAUCAAAGAGAGGGGAAAAACAGAAAACAAUUG